rnacentral:rRNA from 1 species
GAGCUCUCAAUCUGUCAAUCCUUCCAGUGUCCGGGCCUGGUGAGAUUUCCCGUGUUGAGUCAAAUUAAGCCGCAGGCUCCACUCCUGGUGGUGCCCUUCCGUCAAUUCCUUUAAGUUUCAGCUUUGCAACCAUACUUCCCCCGGAACCCAAACGCUUUGGUUUCCCGAAAGCUUCCCGCAGAGCCUACAAAUGCAACUCAGCGGAUCGCUAGCUGGCAACGUUUAUGGUUAGAACUAGGGCGGUAUCUGAUCGCCUUCGAACCUCUAACUUUCGUUCUUGAUUAAUGAAAACACUCUUGGCAAAUGCUUUCGCAGUAGUUAGUCUUCAAACGGUGCAAGAAUUUCACCUCUGUCGUUUGAAUACUAAUGCCCCCAAUUGUCCCUAUUAAUCAUUAACUCGAUUCCCGAAAACCAACAAAAUAGGAACGAGUUCCUAUUCCAUUAUUCCAUGCACGAAUAUUCAAGCUUUGUAGCCUGCUUUGAGCACUCUAAUUUUUUUAAAGUAAAACUGCAAGCAUUCCAAGACAGCCGAUUAAAGCCACCUUGAGACCUCUUGCAAAAACACAGGUAAAUGGGGCAGUGCCGUCAGAGACGAACCGCCCCCUACCUACCGAGAUCCAACUACGAGCUUUUUAACCGCAACAGCUUUAGUAUACGCUAUUGGAGCUGGAAU